AAUUACCUACGGGGGGCAGCAGUGAGGAAUAUUGGUCAAUGGACGGAAGUCUGAACCAGCCAUGCCGCGUGCAGGAAGACGGCUCUAUGAGUUGUAAACUGCUUUUGUAGAAGGGUAAACCUGAAUACGUGUAUUCAGCUGAAAGUACUGUACGAAUAAGGAUCGGCUAACUCCGUGCCAGCAGCCGCGGUAAUACGGAGGGUGCGAGCGUUAAUCGGAAUUACUGGGCGCAAAGCGCUCGUAGGCGGGAUGUCAAGUCCAGGGUGAAAUCCCCGCGCUCAACGGGGGACCUGCCUUUGAAACUG
rnacentral:rRNA from 1 species